rnacentral:rRNA from 1 species
GAUGAACGCUGGCGGCGUGCCUAACACAUGCAAGUCGAGCGAAUGGAUUAAGAGCUUGCUCGUAUGAAGUUAGCGGCGGACGGGUGAGUAACACGUGGGUAACCUGCCCAUAAGACUGGGAUAACUCCGGGAAACCGGGGCUCAUUCCGGACACCGUUUUGAACCGCAUGGUUCGAAAUUGAAUGGCGGCUUCGGCUGUCACUUAUGGAUGGACCUGCGUCGCAUUGGCUAGCUGGUGAGGUAACGGCUCACCAAGGCAACGAGGCGUAGCCGACCUGAGAGGGUGAUCGGCCACACUGGGACUGAGACACGGCCCAGACUCCUACGGGAGGCAGCAGUAGGGAAUCUUCCGCAAUGGACGAAAGUCUGACGGAGCAACGCCGCGUGAGUGAUGAAGGCUUUCGGGUCGUAAAACCCUGUUGUUAGGGAAGAACAAGUGCUAGUUGAAUAAGCUGGCACCUUGACGGUACCUAGCCAGAAAGCCACGGCUAACUACGUGCCAGCCGCCGCAGUAA